UAAGCAUUUAUAUGUGCAACUUUGUCCUUAUUUUCAGUUUUCCUUGAUAUUUGCUUUAAUGAUAUUUGUAGGACAUACAGGGCAGUUUUGUUACUGACCUGAACUUGGGUUCACUCACCUGAUGCGCAGCAGUCAAUCUACUGACAGUGGGUCAUGCUAAAGGAAAGUACAGCGUUUAUUGGCAGGGCACCAAGCAAGGAGAAUAGGCACCUAAUGCUCAGAGGACCUGAACUCCUUGCUUGAUGGCCUGCAAAUUAACACUGUAUGGUGGGCAGAAUUGGGGAAGCAGGGGCAGGGCCAUAGAUCCCAUAGCAACAAAUGCACCUUCACCUGCUCAGGUAGAAGCUGAGGAAGGAGGAAUUGUCUCGCUCUUAUAUCGGACAGAGCACCCAUAUUGGUCAGAGAACCGCUUAUGUUCAGGCCAGGCAUUCACACUGAGGCAGAUUCUCAUUGGAGGAAUACAUGCCCGAGAUCAGCCAGCAGGAUUCAUGUGGACAUGCUCUCCCUUUUCAAAUUCAGACUUGUUUAAUUGGAAAAUAAACCAACCUAUUGGGAUGACCGUACCAGGAUGGAAAAUUCAUUCUCCUCCAUCUUUGGCACCCACAGUCCAAACUGGGUCAGAGCUUCCUAACUACUCCAUUGGCUGAGGAAGAGAUAAGGAUGGUAAUAGAAAACGCUUGCGAAGAGGCAGGUAGAAUGCAUGUUGCUGUCUCGGGCAAUCCUCUCCCAGCACCAGCAGCAAAAGCAACUCCCACCACAGAUCCAGACUGGGAGGAGAAUGACCUAGGAGAUAAAGCUGGCAUUGAGCAUCACAAGGAGUGCAUCAUGGUAGGGCUCCAAAAGGGAGAACCAAUACAGGAGUUUUCAUAAGGUGCAAGGAAUGUGCAAACAGCCACAGUAAAACCCCUGAGUUUGGGGAGAGAAUGUACAGGGCGUAUCACCAACAUACAGAUAUGAAUUUAGAUAAUCUGGAGAAUUUCAGACCCUGUGGCUCAGAGUGCCCCAGAUAUCUAGAAAUUGUGCAAAAGGUAGAAGGUCUUUUUCUGCUUCUGAUACCUCCUUUGGUGUAAUAGAAACUGCUUUCGGUUUCUCCCAGUCAGGAGGGCAUACAAGAACAAAAAAGACCCUUUAAAUGAAGCAGCAGAUGCCCAUUUUGGCAGCGAAACUCACUGGGCAGAGAAACGGGGAGACAAGAAAUCUGAGCAGAGAUAAGAUUCCAGGGACCCAAGAGAGUGAAGGGUAGCCCUCAGAAAAGAGACCCCUAAAAGGGACAUGUUAAAGUGCAUCCCCAGCAGUGCUUAUUGAAAGCCAAGAAAGCCACUGAAAAAAAAAAUCUGUCCCAACUUAAAAACAAAAACCAGAAGAGGAGGAGAAAUCAUUCUUCAUGCUGGAGACAAGAGAGAGUGAGGAAAGCCAGGGAGUUCACUUGGGGAAAUAGGCCCCAUCCCACCUCCCACCAGGUCACCCUUUUUUGGGAAACAGACAACUGACUUUCUGAUUGGUACUGGAGCCACUAGCUCAGUUUUGAACAUGAGUUAACCCCAUAACAAGAGCCAUGUCAAGCGGAGUUUACAGAAUGCCUCUCCCAAAACUGCUUUGCAGCCCCUAGAUGAGGUGCUUAACUUAAAACACACUUUUAUAUAAAUGCCAGAGAGCCCAGUCUCAUUGUUCAGGUGAGAUUUAUUAUGCGAAAAUGGCUUUCACUCUGAAUAUAGAGGGAAUGUAUAGACUGAAUAAAAAGGAAAUACCAGAACAAGCCUUUGCCUUGAACGCAGCCAUCCUGUCAAGGGAUGGAGCCACUAGCACCCGUGAAGACAUCCUGUGCCAGGGAAGCCUGAGAGCAUAGGCUGAUUAGGGGGCAGGUACAGCAAGGAAGGCCAUAGCAGUGAAGGUGAAACUGAAAGUGGACACUAAGACUCUGAGCUUAAGGCAAUACCCUUUAAAGGAGCAAGCAAGACAGGGAUGCAGACUUUGAUAAACUGGAUUUCAAAAAUACCUGCUUAUUUUCCUCCCGCAGUCAACUCACGGGCUUCCCAUGUGUCAGUAGCGGUUAUUCUGCCUGCCAGUGCAGGUGAUGUGAGAGACAUGGGCUCGAUCCUGUGUUGGGAAGAUCCCCAGGUGUUGGGCUCAGCAACCCACUCGCGUAUACUUGCUUGGAGAAUCCCAUGGACAGAGGAGCCUGGUGGGCUACAGUCCACAGGGUCGCAAAGAGAUGGACAUGACUAAAAGCAACUCAGCAUGCAUGCAGGCCUUCACCGUAUAAUACUCGCAUCCUGAAUUUACGAAGCCAGGCACUGAAGAACACUGAUUCAUUCAGGACAUAAGAGCAUAAAUCAGAUAGUGAAAGAUACCCAAACUGUAUUUGAAUACUUAUAUUCAAAUUGACUAUCUUAACCUGAAGAUUAUUGUUAGACUUAGCAGAGGUCUUUUUCUAUAUAACUUUGACUCUUGAAUCCCAAGAGUUAUUUGCAUUUGUAAGGAAGAUCAGAAAAUCAAAGC
rnacentral:lncRNA from 1 species